rnacentral:rRNA from 1 species
GGGUGAUCUGCCCUGCACUUCGGGAUAAGCUUGGGAAACUGGGUCUAAUACCGGAUAGGAGCCAUCUUUAGUGUGGUGGUUGGAAAGUUUUUCGGUGUAGGAUGAGCUCGCGGCCUAUCAGCUUGUUGGCGGGGUAAUGGCCUACCAAGGCGGCGACGGGUAGCCGGCCUGAGAGGGUGUACGGCCACAUUGGGACUGAGAUACGGCCCAG